AAUUUUAAAAUAAUAUUAUUUUGCAUCCUGACCUAUACAGGCCUCUGCUAUGGGGGUGAUGGCCUGUCCUGGUGUCUGAGUGAUU